AGGAAAUGCUGCAGAUCUCCAUGUUAGUGAAGGAGCUCCCGGCCUCACUGCCACAUUCUGGAUAUGAAGAACUAGAAGAUAUGAUGUUCUUCAGCCUGUGGAGAGCAAUGAUCAACAGGGCAACCUGCAUAUCAGUGGGCUCAUAAACUGGUGCAGGUUUUUGAUAGGCCACCGCCAGUCCAUUAGGACUUUGGGGUGGUCACACCUUCCCAGUGGUGCACACAGAAGAAGCUUUGUAGUGUGAGACCUGCAGAGAAUCUCAAUUCUUAAGAAGUCCCUGGUCGAGGCCCAUGCAGUGAAUUGUUGAGUCCUACAUCAAAUAUUGAGAGCGGUCUUCGCAGGACUCAGACUUAAAUGAGAGCUCAUGCUGGUGUAAACAUCCUUAAACAUUCUCAAUAUGAGCAGCACAUCUACAGUCUUUCUCAGC